rnacentral:lncRNA from 1 species
GCCGCGCUCGCCUACGACCACGCCGCGCUCGACGUCCGCGGACCCAGGGCCAAGCUCAACUUCCCCUCCUCCUCCGCCGCCGCCGCUGGGGCCCCAGCCAGCCGCAAGCGCGCCCGCGCCUCCGACGCCGCCUUCAUCGACCUCGUCGACCAAGAGGAACAAGAGCAGCUCACGGCGGCGGCGACGACGGCCUUGAAGCACGAGGCCGCCGAAGAAGCAGCCGGCGAGAGCUCCGGUGCACUCCCGGACUUCUCGUGGCAGGGCGUGCUGUCGGCGUACGACGAGUCCCCCGCCGUCGACGUGGAGGCCGGCCAGAGCGGCGAUAAGAAGCGGCCGA